UACGUAGGGUGCGAGCGUUGUCCGGAAUUAUUGGGCGUAAAGAGCUCGUAGGCGGUCUGUCGCGUCUGCCUGUGAAAACCCGAGGCUCAACCUCGGGCCUGCAGUGGGUACGGGCAGACUAGAGUGCGGUAGGGGAGAAUGGAAUUCCUGGUGUAGCGGUGGAAUGCGCAGAUAUCAGGAGGAACACCGAUGGCGAAGGCAGU
rnacentral:rRNA from 1 species